rnacentral:tRNA from 1 species
GACUGAGUGGUCUAAUGGAUAAGACAUCGAACUUCGAAUCAGAAGAUUGAGGUUUCGAGUUCCUUCAUGGUCG